GGAAGUAAAGGUCGUAACAAGGUUUCCGUAGGUGAACCUGCGGAAGGAUCAUUAAAGAGUAAGGGUCUUCGGGCCCGAUCUCCAACCCUUUGUUUAACUACCAUGUUGCUUUGGCGGGCCCGUCUCACGACCGCCGGAAGUUUGGCUUCGACCAAACUUCUGGCCCGUGCCCGUCAGUGGCCCCUUCGAAUUCUUGAUCAAGUAUGAUGUCUUAGUUAAAAACUUAAUAGUUAAAACUUUCAACAACGGAUCUCUUGGUUCUG
rnacentral:misc_RNA from 1 species